UACGUAGGGUGCAAGCGUUAAUCGGAAUUACUGGGCGUAAAGCGUGCGCAGGCGGUUUUGUAAGUCUGAUGUGAAAUCCCCGGGCUCAACCUGGGAAUUGCAUUGGAGACUGCAAGGCUAGAAUCUGGCAGAGGGGGGUAGAAUUCCACGUGUAGCAGUGAAAUGCGUAGAGAUGUGGAGGAACACCGAUGGCGAAGGCAGACCCCUGGGUCAAGAUUGACGCUCAUGCACGAAAGCGUGGGGAGCAAACAGG
rnacentral:rRNA from 1 species